CCUUAGAGGGGGACACCCCAAGGUCUCGCAGAAAUUCAAAUAGGCCCGCCAGGUUCGGUAAUAAAUCCUGGACGAUGCCGGUUUACGCGCACGAAUCAUGGUACGGACCACGUCAGCAGAAAACCCCCGCCGUGUUAGGACCGCGGUUU